GACGAACGCUGGCGGCGUGCUUAAAAACAUGCAAGUCGAACGGACUUCUCAUGAAGCUUGCGAUUGAGAAGUUAGUGGCGGACGGGUGAGUAACGCGUGGGCAACCUGCCCCUGAGCCCGGGAUAACAGUUCGAAAGGACUGCUAAGACCGGAUAUACUUGCGGGGAAGCAUUUCACUGCAAGGAAAGGGAACGCUCAGGGAUGGGCCCGCGUCCCAUUAGCUAGUUGGUGAGGUAACGGCCCACCAAGGCGACGAUGGGUAGCCGGCCUGAGAGGGUGAACGGCCACACUGGGACUGAGACACGGCCCAGACUCCUACGGGAGGCAGCAGUUGGGAAUCUUCGGCAAUGGGCGCAAGCCUGACCGAGCAACGCCGCGUGCGGGAAGAAGGCCUUCGGGUUGUAAACCGCUUUUGUCAGGGAAGAAAUCUUCUGGGUUAAUACCGUCGGGAGGAGUGACGGUACCUGAAGAAUAAGCACCGGCUAACUACGUGCCAGCAGCCGCGGUAAGAUCACGUGUACG
rnacentral:rRNA from 1 species